rnacentral:rRNA from 1 species
UACGAAGGGGCUAGCGUUGUUCGGAAUUACUGGGCGUAAAGCGCACGUAGGCGGUUCGGUAAGUCGGGUGUGAAAACACGAGGCUCAACCUCGUGCGUGCAUCCGAUACUGCCGGACUAGAGGUAGGUAGGGGAGAUCGGAAUUCCUGGUGUAGCGGUGAAAUGCGCAGAUAUCAGGAGGAACACCUGUGGCGAAGGCAGCACUCUGGGACGUGACUGACGCUGAGACGCGAAAGCGUGGGGAGCAAACAGG